rnacentral:tRNA from 1 species
GGAGAGAUGGCCGAGCGGCCGAAGGCGCACGCCUGGAACGCGUGUGAUGGCAACCCCAUCCGUGGGUUCAAAUCCCACUCUCUCCGCCA